rnacentral:rRNA from 1 species
AUGAACGCUAGCGGCAGGCCUAACACAUGCAAGUCGAGGGAGAGGUUACCUUCGGGUAACCAAAACCGGCGCACGGGUGCGUAACGCGUAUACAAUCUGCCUUUCACAUAGGGAUAGCCCGAAGAAAUUUGGAUUAAUACCUAAUGGUAUAUAAGAGCGGCAUCGUUUUUAUAUUAAAGCUACGGUGGUGAAAGAUGAGUAUGCGUUCUAUUAGCUAGUUGGAGAGGUAACGGCUCCCCAAGGCGACGAUAGAUAGGGGUUCUGAGAGGGAUGUCCCCCACACUGGUACUGAGAUACGGACCAGACUCCUACGGGAGGCAGCAGUGAGGAAUAUUGGACAAUGGUCGGAAGACUGAUCCAGCCAUGCCGCGUGCAGGAUGAAGGUCCUAUGGAUUGUAAACUGCUUUUGUAAGGGAAGAAUAAGGAGUACGUGUACUUUGAUGACGGUACCUUACGAAUAAGCAUCGGCUAACUCCGUG